rnacentral:rRNA from 1 species
GACGAACGCUGGCGGCGUGCUUAACACAUGCAAGUCGAACGGGUCUGCCCUGUUUUUUGCGGGGUGGGUCAGUGGCGACCGGGUGAGUAACACGUGAGUAACCUGCCCCUCACUUCUGGAUAACCGCUUGAAAGGGUGGCUAAUACGGGGUGUUCUGGCUGUGCCGCAUGGUGUGGCUGGGAAAGAUUCACUUUUGUGGUGUUUUGGUGGGGGAUGGGCUCGCGGCCUAUCAGCUUGUUGGUGGGGUGAUGGCCUGCCAAGGCUUUGACGGGUAGCCGGCCUGGGAGGGUGGGCGGUCACACUGGGACUGAGAUACGGCCCGGACUCCUGCGGGAGGCAGCAGUGGGGGGUAUUGCACAAUGGGCGGAAGCCUGAUGCAGCGACGUCGCGUGAGGGAUGGAGGCCUUCGGGUUGUGAACCUCUUUCGCCGGUGAAGAAGGUCCUGCUCUUUGUGGUGGGGUUGACGGUAGCCGGGUUAUGAAGCGCCGGCUAACUACGUG